GAUGUUAACCAAGUAGAGGACACAAGUGCUGGAAGAGGUGGAAAAGCUUUUGUCAGUGUGGCUGAGUGAGAAUCAGCUGGCAGGUGAUAGUGUUAGGAAGCUAUGGUCUGUGAAAAGCCAGGAAAUUGCACAGCGGUCUACUGUAAGAAAUCCCUCUACACCUCUACAAGUGCAACAGGUGAGGGAUCUAGAGCCUGUAGAGGGUGGUUUGAUAAAUUCUGCAAGGGAAGUGUCUGUGAUAAGACAUGGUGAGGCUUCUGGUUCUGACAAGGCCUCCACAGAAGCCUACAGGAAAGAAUUCGCAGAACUCAUGAAGACAGAAGGAUAUGUCAAGCAACAAGUGUUUAACUCUGAUGAAACAGGGCUUUUGUGGAAGAAGAUGCUGAGCAGAACCUAUGACAUACAGGAGGAAAAGGCACCGCUGGGGCACAAGCCCAUGAAGGACAGACUGACCCUGUGCCUGUGCGAAUGCAAGCCCCAAUCUGAAGAUUAGGCCACUACUGGUGCACCAUCCCCAGACCCCUCGGCAUUCAAGGGACAGUGUGGACAAGGCCAGGCUGCCUGUCGUGUGGAGGCUAGUGGCGAAGCCUGGGCCACAGGGCAACUGUUUAUGGAAGGGCUGCACAAGGUGUUCUCACCCACCAUUAAGCAAUAUCUUUCUGGCAACCAGCUGCCUGAAGGUGCCUCCUUCAUAUGGACAGAGCCCGGCAACCUCCAGCCUUGGCAGAUGACAUGGACGCUGAGUAUGACUUUAUGACGGUCAAGUUCCUCCCCUACACGACACCUCUUCUGCAGCCUUAGGCCAGCAAAUGACCCAUAACUUCAAGAAGCUGUGCACAGGGUGCUCUUCACCAGGUGUUUUAAUGUCACUGAAGAGACAUCCCUGACUGGAAGAAUUCCAGAAGAAACAUUUCUCCCCACCGCAUCAGGCUCCCUGACACAGCCUGAGAAGAUGUCACGUACCGGACCUUCAACUCAGCCUGGAGGACACCGGCCAGAACGCGUCACUGGGUGUGACUGUGAAGGGUCUGAGGCACAGGUGUGGAGGGAUUGUGCCCACGGGCAAGAGUGUGGGUCUGGACGCCGAUGGUGCAGACGUGGAGGGGACCAAAGGAGGAGCUGACGCGGGAAGCACUUGCUGAACCGCUGAGUGAGCAGCAGAAGGCGCCUGCCGAGGAGCCCUGCGCCGAGAGGGGGCUGGGAGGAGGCCGGCAGUGACGUGACAAACUUCACCCUGGAAAAUGGAACGAGGGCUGGUUCUUGAGAAGCCCCGCCCCGACAUGGCCUCUCAACACAGGCCCUCUCGUUCCCGGGGGUUGCGCAGCACAGGAAAAACACUGACAUUAGAGAGAUUUCUCCCGUCAACACCGACCCUGCAGCUAAGAGAGAAAGAAGAGGACUCCCCCGACGGAGGUCUCCCCAGUGCCUCAUGGAGGGGCCCACCCUCCAAAUAAUACCCUCCUUCCUGUCCUGCGCGCCAGGAGUCUCCAAGCAAGUGCCUUCAGGGCCCCAGUGACGCCGUGGUGACCACGUGCCUGUAACAGGGCCUCCACCUUUGGAUCCACUCCAGCUCGAGCAGGAGGGUGCACAAACCAGAAGCAAAGAGCACACUGCCAUCAGCUGCAGCUUUGGAAAGCACUGAAAAGGAAUGACCUAAAAUAGAUUAGUUUCCAAGCUUAGCUUUAAAGCAUUCUUUGCUUUCCUAAUGAAGAGAUCAAAAUGUUCAAAAAUAAAACAAAGAGG
rnacentral:lncRNA from 1 species